GGUCGUGUGGCGCAAUGGCAGCGCGUUACUUUCCGGUUUGUCCCACCUGGUAAAGGUUCUGGGUUCGAAUCCCAGCAUGAUCG
rnacentral:tRNA from 1 species